CGAAGAGCGGCGGCGCCAUCUCGCGGCCGGCGGCGGCACCGCGGCCCGGCCCGGCCCUCGGGGGUGCCCUUCGCUCUGAAAGUGUGAAAAGAGUCGUAAAAAAAAGGAAUUUAAAAAAACAAAAACAAAAACAAAAACAAGGCAAAGGCGAUGAGUGGAAAUGAUCGCGGGCAGCAGCUGCACAGUUCAAAAGCCCCACAGGGCUCAUGUGCGACUGAUGAUGAGGGGAGGCGGAAUAAAAGGUCUCUCUUUGGACGAGGCAUCCACUUGAAAGCUGUGGCGAUUUCAGGACUGACUGCCAAAGCACAGGGAGCCGUGCAGGGAAGCAGACAAUAGCCAGGCAAGACUGGCCUUUCAGGCAACGCUGCAGGAAUAAAAGAA